rnacentral:rRNA from 1 species
GACGUAGGUGGCGAACGUUAUCCGGAAUCAUUGGGCGUAAAGGGUGCGUAGAUGGCAUGAUAAGUUAUUAGUGGGAAAUCGAGGCUCAACCUCGUGGAAGCUAGUAAUACUGUUUUGCUUGAGUACAGAAGAGGUUAACGGAACUCCAUGUGGAGCGGUAAAAUGCGUAGAUAUAUGGAAGAACACCAAUAACGGCGAAGGCAGUUAACUAUUCUGUUACUGACAUUGAGGCACGAAAGCGUGGGAGCAAACGGG